GUGCUUGCUUUGGCAGCACAUAUACUGAAACUGGAAUGAUACAGGGACGAUUAGCAUAGCUCCUGCAUAAGGAUGACAUGCAAAUUCAUGAAGCCUUCCAUUAUUUU